rnacentral:rRNA from 1 species
GAAUUUUCCGCAAUGGGCGAAAGCCUGACGGAGCAACGCCGCGUGAGGGAAGAAGGCCUCUGGGCUGUAAACCUCUUUUCUCAAGGAAGAAGAUCUGACGGUACUUGAGGAAUAAGCCACGGCUAAUUCCGUGCCAGCAGCCGCGGUAAUACGGGAGUGGCAAGCGUUAUCCGGAAUUAUUGGGCGUAAAGCGUCCGCAGGCGGCCUUUCAAGUCUGCUGUUAAAGCGUGGAGCUUAACUCCAUUAAGGCAGUGGAAACUGUUGGGCUUGAGUGUGGUAGGGGCAGAGGGAAUUCCCGGUGUAGCGGUGAAAUGCGUAGAUAUCGGGAAGAACACCAGUGGCGAAGGCGCUCUGCUGGGCCAUAACUGACGCUCAUGGACGAAAGCCAGGGGAGCGAAAGGGAUUAGAUACCCCUGUAGUC